AUGAACGCUGGCGGCGUGCCUCAUACCUGCAAGUCGCGCGAACGGACGAGAAGCUUGCUUCUCUGAUGUUAGCGGCGGACGGGUGAGUAACACGUGGAUAACCUACCUAUAAGACUGGGAUAACUUCGGGAAACCGUAGCUAAUACCGGAUAAUAUUUUGAACCGCAUGGUUCAAAAGUGAAAGACGGUCUUGCUGUCACUUAUAGAUGGAUCCGCGCUGCAUUAGCUAGUUGGUAAGGUAACGGCUUACCAAGGCAACGAUGCAUAGCCGACCUGAGAGGGUGAUCGGCCACACUGGAACUGAGACACGGUCCAGACUCCUACGGGAGGCAGCAGUAGGGAAUCUUCCGCAAUGGGCGAAAGCCUGACGGAGCAACGCCGCGUGAGUGAUGAAGGUCUUCGGAUCGUAAAACUCUGUUAUUAGGGAAGAACAUAUGUGUAAGUAACUGUGCACAUCUUGACGGUACCUAAUCAGAAAGCCACGGCUAACUACGUG
rnacentral:rRNA from 1 species